GAUGAACGCUAGCGGGAGGCCUAACACAUGCAAGCCGAGCGGUAUUGUUUCUUCGGACAUGAGAGAGCGGCGUACGGGUGCGUAACACGUGUGCAACCUGCCUUUAUCUGGGGGAUAGCCUUUCGAAAGGAAGAUUAAUACUCCAUAAUAUAUUGAACGGCAUCGUUUAAUAUUGAAGGCUCCGGCGGAUAGAGAUGGGCACGCGCAAGAUUAGCUAGUUGGUGAGGUAACGGCUCACCAAGGCGAUGAUCUUUAGGGGGCCUGAGAGGGUGAUCCCCCACACUGGUACUGAGACACGGACCAGACUCCUACGGGAGGCAGCAGUGAGGAAUAUUGGUCAAUGGGUGCAAGCCUGAACCAGCCAUCCCGCGUGAAGGACGACUGCCCUAUGGGUUGUAAACUUCUUUUGUAUAGGGAUAAACCUACCCUCGAGAGGGUAGCUGAAGGUACUAUACGAAUAAGCACCGGCUAACUCCGUG
rnacentral:rRNA from 1 species